UACAGAGAUGGCGAGCGUUGUUCGGAAUCACUGGGCUUAAAGCGCGUGUAGGCGGGGUGAUGGGUGCCUUGUGAAAUCCCUCGGCUCAACCGGGGAAUGGCUCGGCAAACCGGCACUCUUGAGGCAGGUAGAGGUCACUGGAACCAUUGGUGGAGCGGUGAAAUGCGUAGAGAUCAAUGGGAACGCCGGUGGCGAAAGCGAGUGACUGGGCCUGUACUGACGCUGAGACGCGAAAGCGUGGGUAGCAAACAGG
rnacentral:rRNA from 1 species